GCAUGCCUACAACAUAGAAUUAAUGCAACAAAUCCCAUUAGAACUCCGCAGUUAAUCACGUUGAGGCUAGAGUAGUAUUGGGAUGGGUGAUCGCCCAGGAAGUCCUAGUGUUUUACAUGCC
rnacentral:rRNA from 1 species